GACGAACGCUGGCGGUGUGCUUAACACAUGCAAGUCGAACGGUAAGGCCCUUUCGGGGGUACACGAGUGGCGAACGGGUGAGUAACACGUGAGUAACCUGCCCUCAUCUCUGGGAUAACAGUCGGAAACGGUUGCUAAUACUGGAUAUGAGCUUGCAAGGCAUCUUGUGGGUUGGAAAGAUUUUUUUUGGUUGGGGAUGGACUCGCGGCCUAUCAGCUUGUUGGCGAGGUAGUGGCUCACCAAGGCUUCGACGGGUAGCCGGCCUGAGAGGGCGACCGGCCGCAUUGGGACUGAGAUACGGCCCAAACUCCUACGGGAGGCAGCAGUGGGGAAUAUUGCACAAUGGACGGAAGUCUGAUGCAGCAACGCCGCGUGCGGGAUGACGGCCUUCGGGUUGUAAACCGCUUUCAAUUGUGACGAAGCUUUUUUGUGACGGUAGCAGUAGAAGAAGCACCGGCUAACUACGUG
rnacentral:rRNA from 1 species